rnacentral:piRNA from 1 species
UACAGCUUCAAGGCGCUGUUCACGAUG